rnacentral:rRNA from 1 species
GAUGAACGCUGGCGGCGUGCCUAAUACAUGCAAGUCGAGCGAACAGAUGAGGAGCUUGCUCCUCUGACGUUAGCGGCGGACGGGUGAGUAACACGUGGAUAACCUACCUAUAAGACUGGGAUAACUUCGGGAAACCGGAGCUAAUACCGGAUAAUAUAUUGAACCGCAUGGUUCAAUAGUGAAAGACGGUUUUGCUGUCACUUAUAGAUGGAUCCGCGCCGCAUUAGCUAGUUGGUAAGGUAACGGCUUACCAAGGCAACGAUGCGUAGCCGACCUGAGAGGGUGAUCGGCCACACUGGAACUGAGACACGGUCCAGACUCCUACGGGAGGCAGCAGUAGGGAAUCUUCCGCAAUGGGCGAAAGCCUGACGGAGCAACGCCGGGUGAGUGAUGAAGGUCUUCGGAUCGUAAAACUCUGUUAUUAGGGAAGAACAAAUGUGUAAGUAACUAUGCACGUCUUGACGGUACCUAAUCAGAAAGCCACGGCUAACUACGUG